AGUGGAAUUGCUGGGUCAUAUGGUAACUCUAUGUUUAAUCAUUUGAGGAACUGCCAGACUGUUUUCCAACAUGCCUGCACCAUUUUCAUUCCCACCAGCAGU
rnacentral:pre_miRNA from 1 species